GCGAAACCUCCGCAAUGCACGCAAGUGCGACGGGGGGACCCCAAGUGCCACUCUUAACGGGGUGGCUUUUCAGGAGUGUAAAAAGCUCCUGGAAUAAGGGCUGGGCAAGACCGGUGCCAGCCGCCGCGGUAACACCGGCAGCUCGAGUGGUAGCCGCGUUUAUUGGGCCUAAAGCGUCCGUAGCCGGUCCGAUAAGUCUCUGGUGAAAGCCCACAGCUCAACUGUGGGAAUCGCUGGAGAUACUAUCGGACUUGAGGCCGGGAGAGGCUGGAGGUACUCCCAGGGUAGGGGUGAAAUCCUAUAAUCCUGGGAGGACCACCUGUGGCGAAGGCGUCCAGCUGGAACGGACCUGACGGUGAGG
rnacentral:rRNA from 1 species